rnacentral:rRNA from 1 species
GCCGCGGGAAUUCGAUUAGAGUUUGAUCAUGGCUCAGGACGAACGCUAGCGGCGUGCCUAAGGUAUGCAAGUCGAACGGUCCCUCGGGACAGUGGCGAACGGUCGAGUAACACGUAGACAACCUGCCCUCCAGUGGGGGACAACCCUGCGAAAGCGGGGCUAAUACCGCAUGAGCCGCCCCGGGGCCUCCCGGGGAAGGGAAAGCAGCAAUGCGCUGGGGGAUGGGUCUGCGGCCUAUCAGCUAGUUGGUGAGGUAACGGCUCACCAAGGCGACGACGGGUAGCUGGUCUGAGAGGAUGACCAGCCGGACGGGGACUGAGACACGGCCCCGACUCCUUCGGGAGGCAGCAAUGAGGAAUAUUGCGCAAUGGGCGAAAGCCUGACGCAGCGACGCCGCGUGGGCGAGGAAGUCCCUCGGGAUGUAAAGCCCUUUUGCUGGGGACGAGAAUGGACGGUACCCAGCGAAUAAGCCCCGGCUAACUACGUGCCAGCAGCCGCGGUAAUACGUAGGGGGCGCGCGUUGUCCGGAUUUACUGGGCGUAAAGCGCGUGUAGGCGGAGCGUUAAGCCUGGCCUGAAAGCCCCCGGCUCAACCGGGGAGGGUGGCUGGGAACUGGCGUUCUUGAGGGCGGCAGGGGGGAGUGGAAUUCCCGGUGUAGCGGUGAAAUGCGUAGAUAUCGGGAGGAACACCCGUGGCGAAGGCGACUCCCUGGGCCGGCCCUGACGCUGAGACGCGAAAGCGUGGGGAGCGAACGGGAUUAGAUACCCCGGUAGUCCACGCCGUAAACGAUGGUCACUAGGCGUGUGCGGUAUCGACCCCGCACGUGCCGCAGCCAACGCGAUAAGUGACCCGCCUGGGGAGUACG